GAGUCUACGGGGGGCAGCAGUAGGGAAUCUUCCACAAUGGACGAAAGUCUGAUGGAGCAACGCCGCGUGAGUGAAGAAGGGUUUCGGCUCGUAAAGCUCUGUUGGUAGUGAAGAAAGAUAGAGGUAGUAACUGGCCUUUAUUUGACGGUAAUUACUUAGAAAGUCACGGCUAACUACGUGCCGGCAGCCGCGGUAAUACGUAGGUAGCAAGCGUUGUUCGGAUUUAUUGGGCGUAAAGCGAGUGCAGGCGGUCCAAUAAAUCUGAUGUGAAAGCCUUCGGCUCAACCGGAGGAUU
rnacentral:rRNA from 1 species